rnacentral:lncRNA from 1 species
UGCAAAUAUUUUAAGAGUGUGAAUGGGGACAUCUUUCACUUAAAUUGCUGACAUCAAGUCAGUGUAAAAAGGUCAACUAAACCAACCAAUCCAACGGCUGCGUAUGCGUUCUUGCCAUCAUAAAAUAAUCAGGUUCUACUUUCUUUUCCACACAGAAUUAUGUUAUGAAGAUGUAUUAUAGGUUUCAACAAGUUGNAAAGGUUGUAUAAAUCAACAAGUUGAAAAGGUUGUAUAAAUCAACAAGGAUGAAAGGAUGAAUUUGUGUGGAUGUUCUUAGAUCUACAUGCGAAAGAAAAUAAAGAUGUUCAUAGAUCUACAAAAAUCAAAUGCGAAAAACAGACUGCGAACAAGAGCAAAGAUGUUCAUAGAUCUACUGAAUCAGAUGCCAAAAAAUAGUGCUGAAAUCAGAUCUGCGAAAAACAUUUUUUUUGUUUAUAGAUUUUUCAAAAAAUCAGAUGACCAAAACAGAUAGACAAAAAUUAAAUGCCCAAAAUAUCUUACUGUAUUAAACAAGCUGUUGUUUCAGAAUUUGUGGCUAAAUGAAAAAAAUAAUCCAUUCAGCAAGAAAAAAUAUACAUGGAGAUCGCAAGAAUUAAAGAUGCAGUCGAGGGAGGAGGCCGAGAUCUGGAGGCUAGGGCUGGGCGACGCCGUAGUUUGAAACUCGGACGGCGGCGGCUGGAUACGGGCUGAGCAGAGGGAGGCAGCGGCUCAUUUAUCGUCGUCGAGGAGAGAGGCGACACCGCGUUGAGCGUCGUCUAGAUAUGAGGCCGGAGUUGGUAGUUUAGGGAUCUAAGGGUUUUGGACCGCGGCUUUACCGUGAUUCGGUUGCAGGUUUUUCUCCGGCAGAGGGAGAGAGAAGACAAUAGAGAGUACGCUUGAGCUUCUCGCAGGCGGCGGCGGCGGCGAAAAGUGGAAGAAAGUCGGCAGAGGGAGAGAGAAGACAAGGGAGAGCACGUAUGAGCUUCUCACCGGCAGCGGCGAAAGGUGGAAGAAAGUGGAAGGUUUAGACUGGGAGAAGAAAUGAGCGAGAAGAAGCGGCGCUGAACCCUAAAAUUAGAUGAGCUGAGUAUUUAAGCUGUAUUUUAGGGCUGAAAAGUGUAGAUGGACUGUAUUUAAUUUAUUGGGCUGUAUUAGUAAAUACGGUAAAUCUGAAAACAUCUUUCAUCUCCGAUUUUUUGACGCUUCCACUUUUCCCACAAAACCUUUGGAAUGGUAGUGAAAUGGGGUUUCGUCGGCCCAAUUCUUUGAAAUCAGUUUUGAGUUAAUUUGUAGAAAGCAG